rnacentral:rRNA from 1 species
ACCGGAGACGGAAGGAGUGCUUUUAUUAGAUCAAAACCAAUCGGUGGCGGGUUCGCUCGUCAUCGUACAACUUGGUGACUCUGAAUAACUUUAUGCUGAUCGCACGGUCUCGCACCGGCGACGCAUCUUUCAAAUGUCUGCCUUAUCAACUGUCGAUGGUAGGUUCUGCGCCUACCAUGGUUGUAACGGGUAACGGGGAAUCAGGGUUCGAUUCCGGAGAGGGAGCCUGAGAAACGGCUACCACAUCCAAGGAAGGCAGCAGGCGCGCAAAUUACCCACUCCCGGCACGGGGAGGUAGUGACGAAAAAUAACGAUACGGGACUCAUCCGAGGCCCCGUAAUCGGAAUGAGUACACUCUAAACCCUUUAACGAGGAUCAAUUGGAGGGCAAGUCUGGUGCCAGCAGCCGCGGUAAUUCCAGCUCCAAUAGCGUAUAUUAAAGUUGUUGCGGUUAAAAAGCUCGUAGUCGAAUCUGUGUCUUGCGCCGCCGGUUCAUCGUUCGCGGUGUUAACUGGCGUGUCGCAGGACGUCCUGCCGGUGGGCUUAGCUCGCAAGGGCGGCCCAACUCAAUCCUGCCGCGGUGCUCUUCACUGAGUGUCGAGGUGGGCCGGCACGUUUACUUUGAACAAAUUAGAGUGCUUAAAGCAGGCUAAAACUUCGCCUGAAUACUGUGUGCAUGGAAUAAUGGAAUAGGACCUCGGUUCUAUUUUGUUGGUUUUCGGAACCCCGAGGUAAUGAUUAAUAGGAACGGAUGGGGGCAUUCGUAUUGCGACGUUAGAGGUGAAAUUCUUGGAUCGUCGCAAGACGGACAGAAGCGAAAGCAUUUGCCAAAAACGCUUUCAUUGAUCAAGAACGAAAGUUAGAGGUUCGAAGGCGAUCAGAUACCGCCCUAGUUCUAACCAUAAACGAUGCCAGCUAGCGAUCCGUCGACGUUCCUCCGAUGACUCGACGGGCAGCUUCCGGGAAACCAAAGCUUUUGGGUUCCGGGGGAAGUAUGGUUGCAAAGCUGAAACUUAAAGGAAUUGACGGAAGGGCACCACCAGGAGUGGAGCCUGCGGCUUAAUUUGACUCAACACGGGAAACCUCACCAGGCCCGGACACCGGAAGGAUUGACAGAUUGAGAGCUCUUUCUUGAUUCGGUGGGUGGUGGUGCAUGGCCGUUCUUAGUUGGUGGAGCGAUUUGUCUGGUUAAUUCCGAUAACGAACGAGACUCUAGCCUGCUAACUAGGCGUAUUUUGACAUCGCAAAGGCCCGCCGGUAUCGGGGUUCGCUCCUUUAUCGUGCGCGGUUUUUACUGUCGGCGUACAAACAAUUCUUCUUAGAGGGACAGGCGGCUUCUAGCCGCACGAGAUUGAGCAAUAACAGGUCUGUGAUGCCCUUAGAUGUUCUGGGCCGCACGCGCGCUACACUGAAGGAAUCAGCGUGUCCUCCCUGGCCGAGUGGCCC